rnacentral:ncRNA from 2 species
AUCGCCUUCCCUCUUUCAGGUGUCCUGGACCGUAUGGUCCGGCUUAAACAGGAAGUCGGUGAGCCGGUGUCAUCCACCGUUCAUGCCGACGCUGCCCCCGCAACGGUAGAUAAGUCAAGAAUUGCGAACAAGCCACUGUGCGAUUGCGCAUGGGAAGGCCGCAACUUCAGGCCGCUAAGGCCGCUUAUGAGCCCGGAGACUGGCCCGAAAGAUCAUUCGAGA